ACAGAGGGUGCGAGCGUUAAUCGGAAUUACUGGGCGUAAAGGGUGCGUAGGCGGUUAAUUAAGUCAGACGUGAAAGCCCUGGGCUUAACCUGGGAAUGGCGUUUGAUACUGGUUAGCUAGAGUAUGGUAGAGGUAAGUGGAAUUUCCGGUGUAGCGGUGAAAUGCGUAAAUAUCGGAAGGAACACCAGUGGCGAAGGCAACUUUCUGGACCAAUACUGACGCUGAGGCACGAAAGCGUGGGGAGCAAACAG
rnacentral:rRNA from 1 species